ACAUCCAGCGAACUUGGCAGAGGAUGCCUUGGUGCCUUCGGGAACGCUGAGACAGGUGCUGCAUGGCUGUCGUCAGCUCGUGUUGUGAAAUGUUGGGUUAAGUCCCGNAACGAGCGCAACCCUUAUCCUUUGUUGCCAGCGAUUCGGUCGGGAACUCAAAGGAGACUGCCGGUGAUAACCGGAGGAAGGUGGGGAUGACGUCAAGUCAUCAUGGCCCUUACGAGUAGGGCUACACACGUGCUACAAUGGCGCAUACAAAGAGAAGCGACCUCGCGAGAGCAAGCGGACCUCAUAAAGUGCGUCGUAGUCCGGAUCGGAGUCUGCAACUCGACUCCGUGAAGUCGGAAUCGCUAGUAAUCGUGGAUCAGAAUGCCACGGUGAAUACGUUCCCGGGCCUUGUACACACCGCCCGUCACACCAUGGGAGUGGGUUGCAAAAGAAGUAGGUAGCUUAACCUUCGGGAGGGCGCUUACCACUUUGUGAUUCAUGACUGGGGUGAAGUCGUAACAAGGUAGGCGUAGCGAG
rnacentral:rRNA from 1 species